rnacentral:misc_RNA from 1 species
UUUAUAAUGUUCGCGUUGAUGAGGUUAAAACAAAGUUGAAAGGUCAUCAGAAAAGAAUUACAGGCCUCGCUUUUUCUCACUCACUAAAUGUGCUCGUCUCUUCUGGAGCUGACGCCCAGGUAAGAAUUACUAGUAAUGUUUUUACCAUCAGGAGUAAUUAAUCUGCAAAAAUUAUGAGCAACUCAUUGCCAAAAGAUCUGCACUGAUAUAGCAGGUGACAGUUCUUGUGUAUCAAGUCUAUUUUCCUUCGCAUUUGUUAGCAGCAAAGAAAUUUUCACCUCUCAGUUCUCGCUCCCACAUCAAGAUCAUUUGAUUUGGGGGUACAAUUUAUCUGGAUAGUGAUUUUAUACCAUGAAUCUCUAGAAGAUUUCAAAAAAAAAAAAAAAAAAAAACCAAAUUU